UCCACUCCCCAGCGAUGUCAUGGUUUGAUUACUCUGUUUGUAUAUAUAACCUAGGCAAUAGGUUCCCAGCUUACAAUAGAAACAGAGCUUUGACCAGUUCACUUCAUGUUGGAAUUUUUAUGAACUCGGAUUUGUAGUGUCCACUGUGCUGAUUGAAUUUACGUCGUAUUUGGUUUGAGAAUGCAAAGCUUGUUUUGGGCGUUGAUUGUGCUUGUGUCAUGUGACUGUGCCCUCUGUUUAUUUUACACAAGUAGCAAAGAAAACGAUUAUCCAAGAUUCGGGAAACGAAACAGUAGGAUUCAUUCAGACGCUUGGAUGGAUAAAGACAGUAUUGAGGAUUAUAAUGAGAUUAUAGAUAGCAGUGAAAUAAAACCCACACAGUACCUCUCACAAUCAAGACUACGUAUGUUCAAAAGAGGAACAAACCUGCUGUUUCAAUUCUUAGACCGAAAUGGUGACCAAUUAAUAACGAAGAACGAAUUCACAGCAAAUUCAUUUACGGAAAUUUUAGACGCAUUAACCAAGGACCAUCACGGAAAAUGAUACAGCGAACAUCCAUAGCGCCAUCCUGAACUAUAACAUUUGUGGUCUUUUGUCAUUUUAUUCAACAAGAAAUUA